GAUGAACGCUGGUGGCGUGCCUAAUACAUGCAAGUCGAGCGAACAGACGAGGAGCUUGCUCCUCUGACGUUAGCGGCGGACGGGUGAGUAACACGUGGAUAACCUACCUAUAAGACUGGGAUAACUUCGGGAAACCGGAGCUAAUACCGGAUAAUAUAUUGAACCGCAUGGUUCAAUAGUGAAAGACGGUUUUGCUGUCACUUAUAGAUGGAUCCACGCCGCAUUAGCUAGUUGGUAAGGUAACGGCUUACCAAGGCGACGAUGCGUAGCCGACCUGAGAGGGUGAUCGGCCACACUGGAACUGAGACACGGUCCAGACUCCUACGGGAGGCAGCAGUAGGGAAUCUUCCGCAAUGGGCGAAAGCCUGACGGAGCAACGCCGCGUGAGUGAUGAAGGUCUUCGGAUCGUAAAACUCUGUUAUUAGGGAAGAACAAAUGUGUAAGUAACUAUGCACGUCUUGACGGUACCUAAUCAGAAAGCCACGGCUAACUACGUG
rnacentral:rRNA from 1 species